GGCUUUUUAUGGCAAGGAGAUUAAAAGGGAACACGGGUGUGAAUCCCGGACAGUCCCGCUGCGGUAAUUUUCUUAUGGGUCAAGGCAUGUGCCACUUUUGUCUGUCACAAUGGGAAGGCGCCUUGUUUUACCUGAAAUAAGUCCGAAGACCUGCCGAUGCAUUAU
rnacentral:ncRNA from 1 species